GGUGCAGAAGCGAAGUGGCCGAGCGGCAAGUCUUUCAAGCUUGUAAUUAGCGGGUACCCUCCGGGAUGCCUACGGCUACGAGUCCCGUCUGCACUACCA
rnacentral:tRNA from 1 species